UACGUAGGGGGCAAGCGUUGUCCGGAUUUAUUGGGCGUAAAGAGCGUGUAGGCGGCCAGGGAGGUCCGUUGUGAAAACUCGAGGCUCAACCUCGAGACGCCGAUGGAAACCCCCUGGCUAGAGUCCGGAAGAGGAGAAUGGAAUUCCUGGUGUAGCGGUGAAAUGCGCAGAUAUCAGGAAGAACACCCGUGGCUAAGGCGGUUCUCUGGGCCUUACCUGACGCUGAGGAGCGAAAGCGUGGGGAGCGAACAGG
rnacentral:rRNA from 1 species